CGCGGUUCCGGAAGGGCCCGCGCUCCCCCAGCAGGGAAGUCCUGGAGAAGGACAUCUGUGUCAGCGGGAGUGCGACACGCCCGACCGCGU
rnacentral:tRNA from 1 species